AUCCUCGGUGGGCGAGUCUCACUCGUACUUUUAUUUAAAUUAGAAAUUAAUAACGUUCAUAACUAUGUGACAACGUACUUGUCCUUAAAGUGACAUUUAUAAUCUUUAGUAUAGUAACGUUUAAUGUGUAUAAUGAUUAAGGCAGCUAAUACCUUAUAGUCAUCUGUCAAAGUAAUCAUAAAAUUGAUGUUGAAACGGAAUAUUUUAUCUUAUUGUUGAAUGGGCAACCUAACAUAAUGUAAUAAUGAAGCCGAUUUAAAAAAAAAGCCUUAAAUAAAAUGAUAAAUUACACGUAACGAAAUUUUUAAAUGUCAAGUAUAACAUCAAGACUGGUAAUCGAACAAAUUGAUGUGUGUUUAGGCUAUUUGACUAUAAUAUCAUUACUAUGCCUAACCAUUGUUGUAGAGUUUAUUUUCCUAAUAGUAAAGACAUUAACAGAUUCAAUUUUAUUGAUAUUACAUCUCAUUUUAUUGCCUAUAUAUUUGAUACUAAUUGCCAUUACACUCCCAGCAAGACUCUUAUUUUUUGUCGUUAAAAUAUUACUGAUUCUUUUUAUAUUUUCUGCCAUGAUACCUUAUUAUACUUACGAUUUAUUGGUUGCAAUCUUUUUAGGAUCCAGAUUGAGAAGCUCACAGUUACAAUAAAAUUUUUAAAAAUACCUACUUCUGACUUUAAUCAUUUCAUAACUCUGUAGGGAGGAAUAUAUUUUACUUUAGAAUCUGAUGAUAAUUUUAAAUAAAGAUGUUUAGUAGUCGAGUGAAGGGCAAGUGGAAUAAUAUAUUCAGUAGACGAAAUAUCAACAUAAAGUUAUUUCAUGGUUACUGGAGGGAGAACAAUCAAAACGGAAAGAAAGGAAGGCAUGGUUUUUUAAAGGUCCAAGAUUAGUCCCUUCAAAUAGUUGUUGCUUGGUGCUUGUAUUUGAAGGUACUGUGACCUUGAGGAAGGCUCAUUCGCUACCUGAGAAAAACAAAAUUUCUUGAUAAUAAAAAAUUUUGUUUUAAUAGUUUAAGUUAUUAUAUUUCUUGUGGAGUUUGAAUCGUAAGUUACAGUGGACAUUUUUAAAAAUGACAUUUUCAAAAGCUUACGAAAUUUGUAAAACUUAGGUAUUGACAUUUUUCUUUGAAUUAAUUAUGUUGUGUUGAUUAGAUAUGAAAUUAU